rnacentral:lncRNA from 1 species
CCAGGAUAAGCGUCGUUGGGGCAGGUCCUGGGUAGAGUCCAGGUUGGCGGGUCCUGGGGCGGAGUCAGGAUAGGGCGAUCCUGGAAGCUGGGCUUCAGAAGCGUCCAGGGGCCUUACAGGUGCACGCUUCGGUCCUGGAGGCCUUAUCCUAACCUCUCCAUCAGCGCCACCCGUCUGGGGCCCGAAAGGAGGGAGCUUUCCCUCUGUCCUCCAGCCUUUGGACUGUCUCCAAACAAGCCAUUCGUUCACCAAAUACUUAUUAAGCACCUACCAUGUGCCUGACAAGGGAGAUGUAACGCUGUUGUUCCCCACCAGAACCAAAUGAGCGCAAGAUCUGACAAAGAAAAAAAAGGUUCAUCUUUUAUUCCCCCAAACACUUUCAUUUAAAUCAAGAGGAUGGGAUGUGGUUAUUGCUGUGUUUUUAGACAGAAUCAACGGUUUCUGUGUCUGAGAUGUUGCAUACACCCUCUCAGUCCCUCUAUCCUGAGAUGGAGUCACCUGAGGAUCCACAGCAAGUCCUAACCAGGGAUGGGUCUGGGUGAUUAAGGAAGGUUGGCUUCAGAACUGGGCCAGGGGCACUGCUUUGCUUUUGCUGUUUUGAUCAGCUCUCUGCCUGCAGGAGACAAGGAAAACCAAUGGGAACAGCCCAGUAAAGGCUCCAUUCCCCAUUUUACAGCUGGGGAAACUGAGUUACAGAGCUUUUCUGCACUGAGUCAUCAGGAGCAAAUGCUAGAUCAGAUAGGGUCUCUCUCUCUGCCACCCAGGCCAGAGUGCAGUUGACGCAGGGCAGGGGAGCCCCGAAGUGGAGCAUAGUGUGUCCGGAACUGGUGGGUUCUUGGUCUCACUGACUUCAAGAAUGAAGCCGUGGACCCUCACGGUUCAAGCGAUUCUCCUGCCUCAGCCUCC